rnacentral:tRNA from 1 species
GGGCAUGUAGCAUAAUGGAUAAUGCAUCAACCUUCUAAGUUGCCGAUUGUAGGUUCGAGUCCUACCAUGCCUG